UCCUCUCCUCUUCCUGCUCUCUGUUACUCCUCGUUGUCCUCCUUCAUAAUCUUCCCUUCUCCUCCUCUCGUUUCCUUUCCUCUCUUUUCCGCUUUUCUUUUCCCUCUUCCCUUGUUUCCUUUACUUUUCUCUCUUCUCCUCAUCUCUUCUUUCUUUUCCUCCCCAUUCCUCGUUUCCUUUGAACCUCUUCUCUCCUCUCCUUUUGCUUCCUCUCCUCCAUCCUCCUCUCCUCUCCUUUCCUUUCAUCUUGUUUCCUUUUCUUCUAAUUUCUUCUCCUCGUCUCCUCCCUCUCCCAGCUUUCCAUCCUCUCCUUCCUUCCUGGUUCUCCUCUAGUUCAUUCUUUCUCUCCUGGUUUUUUAUCUCCUCCUCUCCCCCUUCCAAACCAAACCACAGAGGAAGAAUUUAUCAGGAGAAGCCAAUCAACCAACUCAUUAGCUGUGUGUGUGUGUGUGUGUGUGUGUGUGUGUGUGUGUGUGUGUGUGUGUGUGUGUUUGAGUGUUUAUCUUAAUAAUUUAGCCAUCGCUGUCAGGACCUUGGUCACCGCAGCGCUCUCAGGUUCCUCUACAGCUCUCAGGUCGGGACAAGUGCGUAAGCGAGCAAGCAACGGGACCAGGCUCUGCAGACGUCAUGGAGACCAAAGAGGACGUUGAUGGAGGAAGCCAAGGAGAGAAAAUGAGAGAGAAGCCACCGAACAAGAGUAAAUCUCAGACUGGCUUUCAGUCGUUGGUGAGAGAUUCGUGAAAUAAAAGGCGGCAGACAGACGGGGAGCUGGCCUUCUUGCUGUUUGACUAAAGACAACACACAGCGCAACGUCAGCCCUGCAUGAUGCAACUGUGAUUAUUGUCCAUGAUGAAACAAAUCUCCAAGGCACAGAAUCAAGGAUUGUUAGUCAGAUAACCUUCAGCCCUGCUGGAUACUGCUGUCCAACUGUAGCAUGUCAUGUAUUGGUAGGUGUACCUCGCACACACAUGCAUGCACACACACAUAUUGUUCCCACAAGGCCUAAGUAAUAAAUUAAUUGAAUGUUUCGUGCAGAAAAUCAACUCACACCUCACGCACGUUCUCCAUACGCCUAUCCACGCUGGUAACAGUGUGUGUGUAUGUGUGUGUGUGUGUGCUGCUCCUACGCAGUACACCCUGAUGGCCAUCUGAGGUGGCAGUGGGACAGAUGGUACGUAGGUCGGUCUUUCCCCGUGCACGCUCUCACACACACGUUUAGC